UUUGGAACGACAUGAGGGUCAGUAAUUGAUGACAGAAUUUUCAUUUUUAGGUGAACUAACCCUUUAAUAUACAUGUAACUCUGAUUGUAUUCGUCUGAAAGAAAGUCAAGGAUGGCUUGAGGUGCAAUCCCACCUAAUGACCCUGACUAAAUCAUUCCAGCUGUGAAACCAUGUAAGCAAGCCCUGAUGAUGACACAGCAUCCAUAUGUACCAUCUGCUUCAGGAUCAUAUCCCUAAACAGUGGGCAAUGAAAAUCAGCUUAGUCAACUCUGCCAAGCCUGAUUCACCUCAAUUAAACUGCGGGGACAAGCCUGCUAAUUCAGUGCAUAUAACAUUCGCCGUGGAUCUAUACACAAACUUCAGACUUGUUUACAGUCGGGCCAGCUGCACACCACUGCUAAAUUGUGUUAGAGUGCUAGAUGCGGCCAUUUUUUUAAUAAACUAGAGUAGUACUUUAAAAACAGUUAUGAAACAGUAUCCAGCAGCAAGGCGGCACAUUAUUCUUUCUUUGGUUUCUACAGAAAGUGCUACAUACAGUACAUGGCCAGAAGUAUGUGUUCGCCCCUUUCAGUGACAUGUUUGCAUAUUAAGCCUUGCCUAUUUCAAGUACAUUUAUUAAUGUAUUUCUGUACACAACUGUUCAAAAAUUUGGGGUUUGUAAGAUUGUAUUUUAUUUCUUAUAUUGAUAGUUAAGACAUUUAUAAUGUCAAAUGAUUUUAGAUUUAUUUGCAAAAUUCUACAUAAAUAUUAAGAGGCACAACUGUUUUCAAUGUUGAUAAAAAUUAGAAGUGUUCCCGGAGCACCAAAUCAGCAUUUAAGAAUGAUUUGAAGAUCAUGUGACACUCUAGACUGGAGUAAUGAUGCGUUGUCAUCACAGAAAUAAAUUACAUCUUAAAAUAAAUUCAAAAAGAAAACAGUUCUUUUAAAUUGUAAAAAUAUUUCAGAAUAUUACAUAUAAUUUUUUAUCAAAUAAAUGCAGCCUUGGUGAAAGACUUCUUUCAAAAACAUUCAAAAUAUUACUCACCCCAAACUUUUGAAAGGUAGUGUUUUUUUCUUUAUGCUUACUGUGCUUAUACUUAUGAUCCAUACAUUGCAAAGGGAAUUAAAACCAUCAUGAUUAAUGUAUAUUUUCAUGUAUGAAAUGCACCAUAAUGUCCGUCUAUUUUGAACUUGUCACUUGCUAGCAACUGCUUUCUUCACUGAAGCUUUGCAUUCAAAUAUUUCAACUCAAAUCAUUAUUUUGUGUCUAUUCAUUUAGUUUCAUGGCAAUUAGCCGUGUAAUAAGUGGGAUAAUGUACAUCCAGCUGGUUGUUAUCACAAAAUAAAGCCCUCAGUCUUAUACAACAGCCCUCUGUAUACUGUACAUUAUCCCUUUCUGAAC
ensembl:lncRNA